GACGAACGCUGGCGGCGUGCCUAAUACAUGCAAGUAGAACGCUGAAGAGAGGAGCUUGCUCUUCUUGGAUGAGUUGCGAACGGGUGAGUAACGCGUAGGUAACCUGCCUUGUAGCGGGGGAUAACUAUUGGAAACGAUAGCUAAUACCGCAUAACAAUGGAUGACACAUGUCAUUUAUUUGAAAGGGGCAAUUGCUCCACUACAAGAUGGACCUGCGUUGUAUUAGCUAGUAGGUGAGGUAAUGGCUCACCUAGGCGACGAUACAUAGCCGACCUGAGAGGGUGAUCGGCCAAACUGGGACUGAGACACGGCCCAGACUCCUACGGGAGGCAGCAGUAGGGAAUCUUCGGAAAUGGGGGCAACCCUGACCGAGCAACGCCGCGUGAGGGAAGAAGAUUUUCGGAUCGUAAAGCUCUGUUGUAAGUCAAGAACGGGUGUGAGAGUGGAAAGUUCACACUGUGACGGUAGCUUACCAGAAAGGGACGGCUAACUACGUG
rnacentral:rRNA from 1 species